rnacentral:rRNA from 1 species
UACGUAGGGGGCAAGCGUUGUCCGGAAUCAUUGGGCGUAAAGCGCGUGUAGGCGGCUCGAUAAGUCUGCUGUGAAAGUCCAAGGCUCAACCUUGGGAUGCCGGUGGAUACUGUCGAGCUCGAGUCCGGAAGAGGAGUGUGGAAUUCCUGGUGUAGCGGUGAAAUGCGCAGAUAUCAGGAGGAACACCGGUGGCGAAGGCGGAUCUCUGGGCCUUACCUGACGCUCAGGUGCGAAAGCUAGGGGAGCGAACAGG